rnacentral:tRNA from 1 species
AAGGAUUUAAGUUAACUAAACUAUUAACCUUCAAAGUUAAAAAUAUAUUUUUUA